rnacentral:rRNA from 1 species
UCAAGCUACAAAGAGCACAAGGGGAAUGCCUUGGCACCGAGAGCCGAAGAAGGACGUGACUAACUGCGAUAAGCUACGGGGAGCUGUAAGUGAGCGUUAUAUCCGUAGAUUUCCGAAUGGAGCAAUCCGGCCAGAGGAAAGUCUGGUCAUCAUAUACUGAAUACAUAGGUAUAUGAGGGGAACCGCCUGAACUGAAACAUCUAAGUAGGGCGAGGAAGAGAAAUCAACUGAGAUUCCGUAAGUAGUGGCGAGCGAACGCGGAAGAGGCCAAACCUAGAGUAGAAAUACUUUAGGGGUUCGGACAGUAUAAUGAAUUGUCGAGAUUUAGCCGAAUGUCAUGGGAAGGGCAAUCAAAGAUGGUGAAAAUCCAGUAGGCGAAAAGUUAAGACAUCAGACUGUAUCCAGAGUACCGCCGGACACGUGAAACCCGGUGGGAAUAUGGGGGGACCAUCCUCCAAGCCUAAAUACUACUCGGUGACCGAUAGAGAAGAAGUACUGUGAAGGAAAGGUGAAAAGCACCCCGGAAGGGGAGUGAAAGAGAACCUGAAACCUUGUGUUUACAAGCACCGAAAGUUCAUCAACGAACGAUCGGGUACCUUUUGUAGAAUGGUCCGGCGAGUGAAUGUAACUGGCAAGGUUAAGCACUUAAGGUGUGAAGCCGUAGCGAGAGCGAGUCUGAAAAGGGCGCAUGAAGUCAGUUGUAUUCGACCCGAAACCGGGUGACCUACCCAUGUCCAGGCUGAAGUGCAGGUAAAACUUCAUGGAGGGCCGAACCGACUCCCGUUGAAAUGGUAGCGGAUGAGGUGUGGGUAGCGGAGAAAUUCCAAUCGAACCCGGAGAUAGCUGGUUCUCUCCGAAAUAGCUUUAGGGCUAGCCUUGGAAUAGAUUACUGGAGGUAAAGCACUGAAUUGGCUAGGGGCCGAGAGGUUACUGAACCUUAUCAAACUAAGAAUGCCAGAUAAUCGUUUUCCAGGAGUCAGACAGUGGGAGAUAAGUUUCAUUGUCAAAAGGGAAACAGCCCAGACCUACAGCUAAGGUCCCAAAGUAUAGUUAAGUGGAAAAGGAUGUGGAAUUGCAUAGACAACCAGGAUGUUGGCUUAGAAGCAGCCACUCAUUAAAAGAGUGCGUAAUAGCUCACUGGUCGAGUGAUUCUGCGCCGAAAAUUUAACGGGGCUAAACUAUACACCGAAGCUUAGGAUACCGCAAGGUAUGGUAGGAGAGCGUUCUGUACGGAGUGAAGUCGUAGCGAAAGCGGCGGUGGACUGUACAGAAGUGAGAAUGCCGGAAUAAGUAGCGAGAAUUAAGUGAGAAUCUUAAUGGCCGAAAGUCUAAGGUUUUUGGAGGAAGGUUCGUCCGCUCCAAGUAAGUCGGGAGCUAAGGUCAGGCCGAAAGGCGUAGCCGAUGCACAAACGGUUGAUAUUCCGUUACCGUCUACAAUUUAAACAAAGGGACACAUACAAAGCGUUUAACCCGGGCGAUGGUUGACCCGGGCGCAAGGGACUGAAAUUAGAGUAGGGAAGUAAAUGUGGCGUAUGGCGAGAAAAGCUUUGUGUAUAGAAGUAGACGCCCGUACCGCAAACCGACACAGGUGGACAGGAAGAGAAUUCUAAGGCCAGCGGGAGAAGGGUAGUUAAGGAACUCGGCAAAUUGACUCCGUAACUUCGGAAUAAGGAGUGCUCGAAAGAGCCGCAGAGAAUAGGCCCAGGCGACUGUUUAGCAAAAACACAGGUCUCUGCCAAAUCGAAAGAUGAAGUAUAGGGGCUGACACCUGCCCGGUGCCGGAAGGUUAAGAGGAGGAGUGCAAGCUCCGAAUUGAAGCCCCGGUAAACGGCGGCCGUAACUAUAACGGUCCUAAGGUAGCGAAAUUCCUUGUCGGGUAAGUUCCG